rnacentral:rRNA from 1 species
CGUAGGGUGCGAGCGUUAAUCGGAAUUACUGGGCGUAAAGCGUGCGCAGGCGGUUUGUUAAGAUAGGCGUGAAAUCCCCGGGCUCAACCUGGGAACUGCGCUUAUGACUGGCAAGCUAGAGUACGGCAGAGGGGGGUGGAAUUCCACGUGUAGCAGUGAAAUGCGUAGAGUUGUGGAGGAACACCAAUGGCGAAGGCAGCCCCCUGGGUCGAUACUGACGCUCAUGCACGAAAGCGUGGGUAGCAAACAGGAUUAGAUACCCUGGUAGUCCACGCCCUAAACGAUGUCAACUAGGUGUUGGGAGGGUAAAACCUUUUAGUACCGGAGCUAACGCGUGAAGUUGACCGCCUGGGGAGUACGGCCGCAAGGUUA